CCAGACUCCUACGGGAGGCAGCAGUGAGGAAUAUUGGUCAAUGGGCGGAAGCCUGAACCAGCCAAGUCGCGUGAGGGAAUAAGGCCCUACGGGUCGUAAACCUCUUUUGCCGGGGAGCAAGGGCGGGGACGUGUCCCGGCCCGGAGAGUACCCGGAGAAAAAGCAUCGGCUAACUCCGUGCCAGCAGCCGCGGUAAUACGGAGGAUGCGAGCGUUAUCCGGAUUUAUUGGGUUUAAAGGGUGCGUAGGCGGGCUUUUAAGUCAGCGGUAAAAAUUCGGGGCUCAACCCCGUCCGGCCGUUGAAACUGGGGGCCUUGAGUGGGCGAGAAGAAGGCGGAAUGCGUGGUGUAGCGGUGAAAUGCAUAGAUAUCAGGAGGAACAUCAGUGGCGAAGGCGGCCGCCUGGCACAAAACUGACGCUGAGGUGCGAAAGCGUGGGUAGCAAACAGGAUUAGAUACCCCAGUA
rnacentral:rRNA from 1 species